GAUGAACGCUGGCGGCGUGCCUAAUACAUGCAAGUCGAGCGAACAGACGAGGAGCUUGCUCCUCUGACGUUAGCGGCGGACGGGUGAGUAACACGUGGAUACCCUACCUAUAAGACUGGGAUAACUUCGGGAAACCGGAGCUAAUACCGGAUAAUAUAUUGAACCGCAUGGUUCAAUAGUGAAAGACGGUUUUGCUGUCACUUAUAGAUGGAUCCGCGCCGCAUUAGCUAGUUGGUAAGGUAACGGCUUACCAAGGCAACGAUGCGUAGCCGACCUGAGAGGGUGAUCGGCCACACUGGAACUGAGACACGGUCCAGACUCCUACGGGAGGCAGCAGUAGGGAAUAUUCCGCAAUGGGCGAAAGCCUGACGGAGCAACGCCGCGUGAGUGAUGAAGGUCUUCGGAUCGUAAAACUCUGUUAUUAGGGAAGAACAAAUGUGUAAGUAACUAUGCACGUCUUGACGGUACCUAAUCAGAAAGCCACGGCUAACUACGUG
rnacentral:rRNA from 1 species